ensembl:snoRNA
AUCCUUUUAUAGCUCCUAUUUGAUGAUUGGGUUUUCAUGUAGAUGAAUGACCAGUCCCUUUCUCAAACCGUCUUAUCAUUUUGGCAUAUUACCUGCCUGACA